rnacentral:rRNA from 1 species
AUGGCUGGGGAGGAAGGAGAACAUAAAACCUUGAUCCGGAGCUUCGUCGAUGCAGGCCUUCAUGCUGGGCCGAGGAGGAGAAGAAGGGGGGGCACGUCGAAGGUGCCGGUGGAGCGCGUCGUCGAGAUCGUUGAUGACAGCGACAUGGGCGAGGCCGUUGAGGAGGUCAUGGUUGAUGCUUUACUGCCUGAACAUGUUGACCGGGAACAAGAGGGUAAGGUGGAUGCGAGGGCGGAGGCGCAUGCCAUGGUGCAGGAUGUUGUGGAAGCCCGAUUAUUUGAGGAAGUGAUAGCCACUGGGAGCAUGGAUCGACAGACUAGACAGACCAAGUCCAUUGAUCGGUUGAUUCAACAACGAAGGAAGAGGCAGAAGGUUAUAAAAACGAGCUUGGGGAUUUACUGA